rnacentral:lncRNA from 1 species
AUUAUGGAAUAUAUAUGGGACCUUCCAACGUUACUUGAACAACUGUUUCAUGAAUUUUUCUCUGGGUCAGGUUUGGUGUUAGUGCUGCGUUUUCGAAUUGCUCUAUGUUUUAUAGCUGCGUUAUUAUAUGUACUUUCUCCUAUUGACAUUUUAUCUGAAGCUGCAUUUGGACUUCUUGGAUUUCUUGACGAUAUAGUCAUAGCGCUGCUUGUGUUGUUUUAUGUUAGCGAAGUAUAUAGGAACGUAGUGGCUGAUCGCGCUGCAAAUGCAGUAGAUGGUUGAACCAUUGUAGUUGCUUAUGCUAUGCACAUUUAUGAUUAUUCACAUUAUCCAAACCCUCAGAAAUUGCUUUCAAUCUGUUUUCCAUUUCAAGCAUUUCAACUGUUUAUUGUACUCGUGCCCCAAUGGCCUCGUUUUCAUGUAGUCCAUCCUCAUGUUUCGUGCACAGUAUAGGAUAAAGGAUAGGUUUGUGAUUUAGUAUCACACAGAAACAUAUUGGUGCACGGAACAUGGGGCAUCACCUUAAUUCAAGUGCGCCUGCCAUGCUAAAACAGACAAACAUGGAAACCAUUGGGGCGUAAGCGCAGUAAGAUCUAUUGUAUCGUAACGUGCUUUCGUGUCGAAAUCAUUAGUUCUACCCUAGUGUUUCUGGAACAAAGAAUUACGCUAUGUUUCGGUACGAUAGCUUGAUGUUGGAAUACAGGCUUUAGGCAAUAGGGGUGAACGUUUAUUAGCAUAGUAUGGCCAGUUUCCAUGGACCAUAGGUAGGUAUCCACUGUGUUUAUACUGUAGACAAACUUUAAGGUACUCAAGCCUGGCGAGCUAACAGCUGGUCUGUAUGUUCUCGUUCAUGACAACCGCGACUUGUUACAGUAGUUAUUGUAGGUAGUUCAUACUGGAUCACGAUCAGGUCGUGAAAUCAAUAUCACGAGAAUAGUGCAUAAAUAAACUAUAUUAAGCAUACUUGGCUCGAUUUGAACAUCUGCGUAUAAUGCGUCAAAUUCCAGAGCUUUGUAUCAGUAGUAUAUACAGUACAUACCGUGGCAUUUUGUGACAUGACAAGCUUCCUUUACGAAAUGAUUUAUUCUUCUUAACUUCAAUAAAAAUGUAGAAUAAGCGUUUGACUGUAAAACAUGUACGCACACCAUGUAAAAAAGAAUAAAUAUAUUUGAAAGUCCGAGAUUUGAAACUUUGGGAUCGCAGUUUCAACAUUGUCUGACGCAUGUGAAUGAAUACUGUGGGUGCUAACUUAUGAUUAGAGAGUUUUGAUCAGAGAGUUUUGAUCAUAAUGUGCGACAAACGAGAGACGAAUGCUUAUUGUUGUCAGCCUUUUACAUUAAAACAAGAUUGCUUUUUACGAUGUCGACAUAAAUAUAUUUACUCCAAAUAGUCAAUUUACAGAAGCGUUCGACUUUGGUAUUGUAAAUGGUGCCCUGAAAGUAAAACAUAGAAUAGCUCAUCUUUUCCCGUGUCUAAAAAUAUUCUGUCAUUUUAUACCCACUUUUCUGUACAAUUCAGUAGCAUAUAGACGGUUUCAGACAGUGUCAAAUAAUCCUGGAUAAAACAGUCGGAAUGUAAGUGUAACUAGAAGGCCUAGUGUAUGGAUAGUAGUAAGAGCCAGGAUUCAAAUACAUCAUCUGCCAAUUUAAAAUCCAAAUCUAGCAUUCAAACAAUAUCAUGGAAGAAUGGAAAGAGCUGGUCAAAAGUAUGUAAUAAAGGUCGCUAGGCAAUACUGCCUAUUUCGGCACAGUACACCGCCAAGAGAAAAUU